UACAGAGGGUGCAAGCGUUGUUCGGAAUUAUUGGGCGUAAAGGGAGUGUAGGCGGCUAGGAAAGUCUUCUGUGAAAUCUACGGGCUCAGCCUGUAACGUGCAGAGGAAACUAUCUGGCUAGAGUGUCGGAGAGGAUAGGGGAAUACCCAGUGUAGAGGUGAAAUUCGUAGAGAUUGGGUGGAACACCAGUGGCGAAGGCGCCUGUCUGGCUGACAACUGACGCUGAGACUCGAAAGCAUGGGGAGCAAACAGG
rnacentral:rRNA from 1 species